rnacentral:rRNA from 1 species
UAGGGAAUCUUCCACAAUGGGCGAAAGCCUGAUGGAGCAACGCCGCGUGGGUGAAGAAGGUCUUCGGAUCGUAAAACCCUGUUGUUAGAGAAGAAAGUGCGUGAGAGUAACUGUUCACGUUUCGACGGUAUCUAACCAGAAAGCCACGGCUAACUACGUGCCAGCAGCCGCGUAAUAUGUGA